CUGUAGUCACAUAUGAUGAAGUUUUCAUGUGUUUGUGAAGUGUAACAUCCUGUGAUCCCUUUAUGAAGCACAAACACCUCUCUGAUUUAGUCAAGUAGGGAAUAUUUAAAUUGGCUAAGCAAAUUAGCGACACGCCCACAACUUUAAAUAGCUAAACCCUAAACAAAUUUCAGCAGUUUGAGAGUAGGGGAGAUUGCCAGCUGGGUGUUGCCUGGGGAGGAAAUCCCUACAGGGAGAGAGGAGGGGAUUUCUUUCUCCUCUCACUACUUCUCCAAAUCAACUUUGAAGGGAAGCUACUGGACCACAGAAGACAUACAUCCAUCAGAGAGCAGAGACAUGUAUUCCAGAUGGACAUAAUUACAAAGAGACAGUCAAUUCAAGGGAUGAAGCACUUUCAAGAACAAAGACCCCCGAGAGAGAAGAGUCGGAAUGUGGAGACCAGACCCUGGGAACCCAGCUGAGCAACCCACCAAGGAAAGACACUGUAUCCGUGGGAAGCUGGCAGAGGACCCUACAAAGAGAGGGAGGAGCGCCGGGUCCUUCAGUGCUAAGAGCUGAAAUGGUGGGGGACUCUGGGUGUGGAGGACUGCAUAAAUUAUCAGACUGUACUGAUGGAGCACUUGGUUUUUCCAGGUUGAUUUUUUACCUUUUUCCUAUUCUUCAUUGGCCAGAUGUCUUUGAGCAAGGUCACACCAUUGGUGAUGAUGAAGGUAGCUCGGCUGAGUUUGGUGGAAGCAUGAAUCAGG